rnacentral:rRNA from 1 species
AGAGUUUGAUCCUGGCUCAGAUUGAACGCUGGCGGCAUGCUUUACACAUGCAAGUCGAACGGUAACAGGGAGCUUGCUCCGCUGACGAGUGGCGAACGGGUGAGUAAUGCAUCGGAACGUGCCGUGUAAUGGGGGAUAACGUAGCGAAAGUUACGCUAAUACCGCAUACGCCCUGAGGGGGAAAGUGGGGGACCGCAAGGCCUCACGUUAUACGAGCGGCCGAUGUCGGAUUAGCUAGUUGGUGGGGUAAAGGCCUACCAAGGCGACGAUCCGUAGCGGGUCUGAGAGGAUGAUCCGCCACACUGAGACUGAGACACGGACCAGACUCCUACGGGAGGCAGCAGUGGGGAAUUUUGGACAAUGGGGGCAACCCUGAUCCAGCCAUGCCGCGUGAGUGAAGAAGGCCUUCGGGUUGUAAAGCUCUUUCAGGUGGAAAGAAAUCUCCUGGGUGAAUACCCUGGGAGGAUGACGGUACCAUCAGAAGAAGCACCGGCUAACUACGUGCCAGCAGCCGCGGUAAUACGUAGGGUGCGAGCGUUAAUCGGAAUUACUGGGCGUAAAGCGUGCGCAGGCGGUUGUGUAAGACAGAUGUGAAAUCCCCGGGCUCAACCUGGGAACUGCGUUUGUGACUGCACAACUAGAGUACGGCAGAGGGAGGUGGAAUUCCGCGUGUAGCAGUGAAAUGCGUAGAGAUGCGGAGGAACACCGAUGGCGAAGGCAGCCUCCUGGGCCAGUACUGACGCUCAUGCACGAAAGCGUGGGGAGCAAACAGGAUUAGAUACCCUGGUAGUCCACGCCCUAAACGAUGUCAACUAGUUGUUGGGUGGGUAAAACCAUUUAGUACCGUAGCUAACGCGUGAAGUUGACCGCCUGGGGAGUACGGCCGCAAGGUUAAAACUCAAAGGAAUUGACGGGGACCCGCACAAGCGGUGGAUGAUGUGGAUUAAUUCGAUGCAACGCGAAAAACCUUACCUACCCUUGACAUGUCUGGAAGGCCGAAGAGGAGGCUGUGCCCGAAAGGGAACCUGGACACAGGUGCUGC